GAAUUCGCCCUUAGAGUUUGAUCCUGGCUCAGGACGAACGCUGGCGGCGCGCCUAACACAUGCAAGUCGAACGGAGCUUAGAGAGCUUGCUUUUUAAGCUUAGUGGCGAACGGGUGAGUAACGCGUGAGUAACCUGCCCUAGAGUGGGGGACAACAGUUGGAAACGGCUGCUAAUACCGCAUAAGCCCACGGUACCGCAUGGUACUGAGGGAAAAGGAUUUAUUCGCUUUAGGAUGGACUCGCGUCCAAUUAGCUAGUUGGUGAGGUAACGGCCCACCAAGGCGACGAUUGGUAGCCGGACUGAGAGGUUGAACGGCCACAUUGGGACUGAGACACGGCCCAGACUCCUACGGGAGGCAGCAGUGGGGGAUAUUGCACAAUGGGGGAAACCCUGAUGCAGCGACGCCGCGUGGAGGAAGAAGGUUUUCGGAUUGUAAACUCCUGUCGUUAGGGACGAUAAUGACGGUACCUAACAAGAAAGCACCGGCUAACUACGUGCCAGCAGCCGCGGUAAAACGUAGGGUGCAAGCGUUGUCCGGAAUUACUGGGUGUAAAGGGAGCGCAGGCGGGAAGACAAGUUGGAAGUGAAAACCAUGGGCUCAACCCAUGAAUUGCUUUCAAAACUGUUUUUCUUGAGUAGUGCAGAGGUAGAUGGAAUUCCCGGUGUAGCGGUGGAAUGCGUAGAUAUCGGGAGGAACACCAGUGGCGAAGGCGGUCUACUGGGCACCAACUGACGCUGAGGCUCGAAAGCAUGGGUAGCAAACAGGAUUAGAUACCCUGGUAGUCCAUGCCGUAAACGAUGAUUACUAGGUGUUGGGGGAUUGACCCCCUCAGUGCCGCAGUUAACACAAUAAGUAAUCCACCUGGGGAGUACGACCGCAAGGUUGAAACUCAAAGGAAUUGACGGGGGCCCGCACAAGCAGUGGAGUAUGUGGUUUAAUUCGAAGCAACGCGAAGAACCUUACCAGGUCUUGACAUCGUAUGCAUAGUCUAGAGAUAGAUGAAAUCCCUUCGGGGACAUAUAGACAGGUGGUGCAUGGUUGUCGUCAGCUCGUGUCGUGAGAUGUUGGGUUAAGUCCCGCAACGAGCGCAACCCUUACCAUUAGUUGCUACGCAAGAGCACUCUAAUGGGACUGCCGUUGACAAAACGGAGGAAGGUGGGGAUGACGUCAAAUCAUCAUGCCCCUUAUGACCUGGGCUACACACGUACUACAAUGGCAAUAAAACAGAGGGAAGCAAAACAGCGAUGUGGAGCAAACCCCUAAAAAUGUUCUCAGUUCAGAUUGCAGGCUGCAACUCGCCUGCAUGAAGUCGGAAUUGCUAGUAAUCGCGGAUCAGCAUGCCGCGGUGAA
rnacentral:rRNA from 1 species